rnacentral:rRNA from 2 species
AGUAGGCCUCAAAUAAUGUGUGACU